AAGAAGGUUACACUACGAUGUAACAGUAGUUUUAGGCAUUCUUACAUUUAGGGUUGCUCAUUUCAAUUUCUUUAAUUUAUAUAGUUGCAGCGAACUCCAAGCAGGCGAAGAGAUGGGCAAGAUGGAACAACUAUCCAAUGUUUUACUGCAGCAACGGGUCACUCAAGAUUGUGUUGGCAUGUGGUGUUUUUAAUGUACCCAUUAGGAAGGAUAUCAUUCACCAUGUUGUUAGAUGGCAGCUUGAUAAAGGACAACAAGUAUUAUAUAUUUCUCUAAUUUAUAACUUAAUCUCAUAAUAUCAAUGAUCUUUAAUCAUACGACAUUGAAUAUACGUGUACAAGAAUCCUGCAAUGUUGCCACCAUGACAUGGUGUACUUUUGGAAGUUGUACAAGUUCUUACCGAUACCAAUUUCAUCUUCACAAAGCUUACAUAAGUUCUAAUGGAGGGUGGUUCAUGGAUGGUUAAUGAUCAAGAUGGGAACAAAAUUACUUCACGUGGAAGUUUUGGAUUACAUUCAAAAGGCUAAAGCAUUAAACUUUAUGAAGUGUUCUAAACACAUUAAUGGGUCACAUCGUCACAUGGGUAGAAUAGAGAGGUGUUUCGAGCAACCAAAGACUAUGAAAUGUGUGAGAAUGGUUAGGUGGCUGGUAGAAAUUAUAGUGGAAAAUUUGGUAGCCUAUAUCUACUGUUGGUUUCUCAUUGUUUCAAAGUUUAAUGGAAGCUUCAAUCUGAAAGAAUACACCAUUUGUUUUUGA